rnacentral:rRNA from 1 species
CCUACGGGAGGCAGCAGUGAGGAAUAUUGGUCAAUGGGCGGAAGCCUGAACCAGCCAAGUAGCGUGCAGGAUGACGGCCCUACGGGUUGUAAACUGCUUUUAUACGGGAAUAACGCGCCUUAAGUGUAGGGCUUUGCAUGUACCGUAUGAAUAAGGACCGGCUAAUUCCGUGCCAGCAGCCGCGGUAAUACGGGAGGUCCGGGCGUUAUCCGGAUUUAUUGGGGGUCAAGGGAGCGUAGGCGGCAUGUCAAGCGUGCUGUGAAAUGUGCGGGCUCAACCCGGGCAUUGCAGCGCGUACUGGCGUGCUUGAGUCCGCGGAAAGCAGGCGGAAUUCGUGGUGUAGCGGUGAAAUGCUUAGAUAUGACGAAGAACCCCGAUUGCGAAGGCAGCUUGCUGCAGCGGAAUUGACGCUGAUGCUCGAAAGCGCGGGUAGCGAACAGGAUUAGAUACCCUUGUAGUC